GUUUUCGGCAUCGUUACUUUGAAGAAUGUAGAGUGCUCAAAGCAAGCCAUCGCUCUGGAUACAUUAGCAUGGGAUAACAUCAUAGGAUUCCGGUCCUAUUGUGUUGGCCUUCGGGAUCGGAGUAAUGAUUAAUAGGGACAGUCGGGGGCAUUCG
rnacentral:ncRNA from 1 species